GACGAACGCUGGCGGCGUGCUUAACACAUGCAAGUCGAACGGAAAGGCCCUGCUUUUGUGGGGUGCUCGAGUGGCGAACGGGUGAGUAACACGUGAGUAACCUGCCCUUGACUUUGGGAUAACUUCAGGAAACUGGGGCUAAUACCGGAUAGGAGCUCCUGCUGCAUGGUGGGGGUUGGAAAGUUUCGGCGGUUGGGGAUGGACUCGCGGCUUAUCAGCUUGUUGGUGGGGUAGUGGCUUACCAAGGCUUUGACGGGUAGCCGGCCUGAGAGGGUGACCGGCCACAAUAGGACUGAGAGACGGCCCAGAGGCCUACGGGAGGCAGCAGGGGGGAAUAUUGCACAAUGGGCGGAAGCCUGAUGCAGCAACGCCGCGUGCGGGAUGACGGCCUGCGGGUUGUAAACCGCUUUCGCCUGUGACGAAGCGUGAGUGACGGUAAUGGGUAAAGAAGCACCGGCUAACUACGUG
rnacentral:rRNA from 1 species